rnacentral:lncRNA from 1 species
ACUACACAUGAAGCUUUGCUGUGUUCUUACAGCUUUCAGAACAUAAAUCAUUUGGGGAACUGUGUGGGGCUUUAUUGUCAAUAGCAAAAAUACUGAUGUCAGGAAGGGAAAAACUGAAAAUAUAAAGAGUAGAAAUUCCUGAAGCACAAUGUAUCAGAAACUUAGCCUCUCUAGUCCCUCUUUCAGCCACUUUGUGCUUGAAUUUGUGUUUAAUUCAUUUUAUUGACUUAUUUGAAUGUUUAUAAAUUCAGCAUUUGUGAAGAAACUGGAGAUCUGAGCAAUCCUCCUUAUCUCCUUAACUGUCUCUUUUAAACUCAUUUAAUCAAAAUACAGCUCACAAAGUAGUCCCUUAUUAUUUACUUUUUGAGUUAUAUUUUGGAGUCCAAAAUGAAUGUGGGAUUUAACCAUGAAAAGUGCAGAGGAACCACUCUUUUGAAAUUGCAAGAUCAAGCAUAAGGCUGUCAAGUACUUGUAGCUGAUGACAAUAUAGAUGUCAUGCCCAGGUCCUCAUUAUUACUCCUCUCUCUAUAGUGGAUGGGGGGAAAUCAACGUUGCCUUUGCUAGAUAGCUAUUUUGGGACUGAUUGAUCAUCUUUAAUAAUUAAUAACUCCUGUCUGCCCCAUGAUUAAGCAUAGCUUCUGACUCUUCUGGUGCAAAGCAAGGUCCAGGAUUUCAUCUCUGCAGCGUUUCUGUGAAACUCCUGUGGAUCUUCUGCUCAUCCUCAUGGAAGUAUAAAUAUACCUCCUGGAGGAAAUUCCUCAAGUCAGUGUUCUAAUCCAGUCACCUCCUGCUGCAGUUCCUUCAUGUGGCUGCCUUAGCUCCUCAGAGGAGACCACAUCCUCCUUCCCAUCUGACAGGCAUCAGGCAGUCCUGGCAGCCACAGAACCAUGGAGCCUUGCCCUGGGACACUUCAUCACUCUUGACGAAGGGCACAAAUCUAAUCUACAGAAUUACUUAGAAUACAUAUAUUCUGCUUUCCAUCACAAUCGCUGGACACCAGAAUGGAUGAGCACUUUACAUUUCCU